rnacentral:rRNA from 1 species
GACGAACGCUGGCGGCGUGCCUAAUACAUGCAAGUCGAACGCAGUGGGGACGGGUGAGUAACACGUGGGUAACCUCCCAUCAGAGGGGAUAACACUUGGAAACAGGUGCUAAACCGAUACUGAUGGAUGGACCCGCGGUGCAUUAGCUAGUUGGUGAGGUAACGGCUCACCAAGGCCACGAUGCAUAGCGGACCUGAGAGGGUGAGCGGCCACACUGGGACUGAGACACGGCCCAGACUACUAAGGGAGGCAGCAGUAGGGAAUCUUGGGAAAUGGGCGAAAGCCUGAACGAGCAAUGCCGCGUGAGUGAAGAAGUUUUUCGGAUCGUAAAACUCUGUUGUUAGAGAAGUGGGAUCUAACCAGAAAGCCACGGCUAACUGCGUGCCAGCCGCCGCGGUAAUUC